GACGAACGCUGGCGGCGUGCUUAACACAUGCAAGUCGAACGGAGUGGCGAACGGGUGAGUAACACGUGGGUGAUCUGCCUUGCACUUCGGGAUAAGCUUGGGAAACUGGGUCUAAUACCGGAUAGUGCAAGAUGAGCUCGCGGCCUAUCAGCUUGUUGGUGGGGUAAUGGCCUACCAAGGCGUAGACGGGUAGCCGGCCUGAGAGGGUGUACGGCCACAUUGGGGCUGAGACACGGCCCAGACUCCUACGGGAGGCAGCAGUGGGGAAGAGUGCACAAUGGGCGGAAGCCUGAUGCAGCGACGCCGCGUGGGGGAUGACGGCCUGCGGGUUGUAAACUCCUUUCACCAUCGACGCGGUAGAUGGAGAAGAAGCACCGGCUAACUACGUGCCAGCAGCCGCGGUAAUUC
rnacentral:rRNA from 1 species